GCUGUACCGUUCACCUGCUUAUUACCCGUAAGCAUGCCUACAGCAGUGCUGACCAGUGCCACUGAGGAAAGCAAAUGGAAAAAGUGUCUGACUCAGUGGCACGGUGAAUUCCCGGCCUGAGUCUCUGCUGGUCCACACUGCCCCUUGGCCCAGAUGUUUGUUACCUGGGUGGUUCCCGCCUUCUUUGCCCUCAUUCAGCACUGCAAGACUUCACCACUGUGGGACUCUUGUGGGUCUACACGCUGAAUAGACUGACUCAGAAGUGCACAUGAAUGGGCUUUCGCUGACCAAAUCGGGAAAUUUACAAAUAAGAAGGUAUCAACUGUCCAGUGGAGGUCAAGAAUAAAUUAUAAAUGGAGAACAAUUCCCAAGUGUCUGUGAAUACUACAACACAGAACAGCAAGGCACUUUCCAGUGAUGAAUAUUCUUAUUUUUCCUUGUCGAUGGAGGCAGAAAAUAUCACCAUGCACACCAAACCCCAGAAUUCCCAUCGGUCUUUAUGGAUGAAGCCCAGCUUAGGCCAUCUCUACUCCCAUGGUGCUUUUCAAUUCCUUACUCCCUCUGGACAAAUGAUUGAGUGUCCCUGUAAUACCUUUAAUGGAAGCUGUGUCGCUAAAUCCAAGAAGUUUGGGAUGGAACAGACAGUUUACAUCCAAUAUAUUAUUUUUAUGCAUAUUCUGGCAUUGGAUGAAUACAAUGAAUAUAGCUAUGGGAACAAUUAAGCCAGCUCCACUAUGCAUAAUGGUGAUCACUAAUGGACUGAUAGGAAGACUCACAUAUAUGUGUAUGGACCCUAUGACAACAAAUUAAUCCCUGUUCAUAAUAAAUGCUUUAGUAGCUCUUAACACCAGGUUGGCUGAAUAGAGGGCAUUAUAAUCUCAUUUUUGCAGGUAUCUAACUGGUGUCUAUUUUUAUCCAAAUAAAAUGGCUGUCUCU
rnacentral:lncRNA from 1 species